rnacentral:rRNA from 3 species
GAAUGCUGACAUAAGUAACGAUAAAGCGGGUGAAAAGCCCGCUCGCCGGAAGACCAAGGGUUCCUGUCCAACGUUAAUCGGGGCAGGGUGAGUCGACCCCUAAGGCGAGGCCGAAAGGCGUAGUCGAUGGGAAACAGGUUAAUAUUCCUGUACUUGGUGUUACUGCGAAGGGGGGACGGAGAAGGCUAUGUUGGCCGGGCGACGGUUGUCCCGGUUUAAGCGUGUAGGCUGGUUUUCCAGGCAAAUCCGGAAAAUCAAGGCUGAGGCGUGAUGACGAGGCACUACGGUGCUGAAGCGACAAAUGCCCUGCUUCCAGGAAAAGCCUCUAAGCAUCAGGUAACAUCAAAUCGUACCCCAAACCGACACAGGUGGUCAGGUAGAGAAUACCAAGGCGCUUGAGAGAACUCGGGUGAAGGAACUAGGCAAAAUGGUGCCGUAACUUCGGGAGAAGGCACGCUGAUAUGUAGGUGAAGCGACUUGCUCGUGGAGCUGAAAUCAGUCGAAGAUACCAGCUGGCUGCAACUGUUUAUUAAAAACACAGCACUGUGCAAACACGAAAGUGGACGUAUACGGUGUGACGCCUGCCCGGUGCCGGAAGGUUAAUUGAUGGGGUUAGCGGUAACGCGAAGCUCUUGAUCGAAGCCCCGGUAAACGGCGGCCGUAACUAUAACGGUCCUAAGGUAGCGAAAUUCCUUGUCGGGUAAGUUCCGACCUGCACGAAUGGCGUAAUGAUGGCCAGGCUGUCUCCACCCGAGACUCAGUGAAAUUGAACUCGCUGUGAAGAUGCAGUGUACCCGCGGCAAGACGGAAAGACCCCGUGAACCUUUACUAUAGCUUGACACUGAACAUUGAGCCUUGAUGUGUAGGAUAGGUGGGAGGCUUUGAAGUGUGGACGCCAGUCUGCAUGGAGCCGACCUUGAAAUACCACCCUUUAAUGUUUGAUGUUCUAACGUGGGCCCCUUACCGGGGUUGCGGACAGUGUCUGGUGGGUAGUUUGACUGGGGCGGUCUCCUCCUAAAGAGUAACGGAGGAGCACGAAGGUUGGCUAAUCCUGGUCGGACAUCAGGAGGUUAGUGCAAUGGCAUAAGCCAGCUUGACUGCGAGCGUGACGGCGCGAGCAGGUGCGAAAGCAGGUCAUAGUGAUCCGGUGGUUCUGAAUGGAAGGGCCAUCGCUCAACGGAUAAAAGGUACUCCGGGGAUAACAGGCUGAUACCGCCCAAGAGUUCAUAUCGACGGCGGUGUUUGGCACCUCGAUGUCGGCUCAUCACAUCCUGGGGCUGAAGUAGGUCCCAAGGGUAUGGCUGUUCGCCAUUUAAAGUGGUACGCGAGCUGGGUUUAGAACGUCGUGAGACAGUUCGGUCCCUAUCUGCCGUGGGCGCUGGAGAACUGAGGGGGGCUGCUCCUAGUACGAGAGGACCGGAGUGGACGCAUCACUGGUGUUCGGGUUGUCAUGCCAAUGGCACUGCCCGGUAGCUAAAUGCGGAAGAGAUAAGUGCUGAAAGCAUCUAAGCACGAAACUUGCCCCGAGAUGAGUUCUCCCUGACUCCUUGAGAGUCCUGAAGGAACGUUGAAGACGACGACGUUGAUAGGCCGGGUGUGUAAGCGCAGCGAUGCGUUGAGCUAACCGGUACUAAUGAACCGUGAGGCUUAACCUU